rnacentral:rRNA from 1 species
AUUGAACGCUGGCGGCAGGCCUAACACAUGCAAGUCGAGCGGAUGAAGGGAGCUUGCUCCUGGAUUCAGCGGCGGACGGGUGAGUAAUGCCUAGGAAUCUGCCUGGUAGUGGGGGAUAACGUCCGGAAACGGGCGCUAAUACCGCAUACGUCCUGAGGGAGAAAGUGGGGGAUCUUCGGACCUCACGCUAUCAGAUGAGCCUAGGUCGGAUUAGCUAGUUGGUGGGGUAAAGGCCUACCAAGGCGACGAUCCGUAACUGGUCUGAGAGGAUGAUCAGUCACACUGGAACUGAGACACGGUCCAGACUCCUACGGGAGGCAGCAGUGGGGAAUAUUGGACAAUGGGCGAAAGCCUGAUCCAGCCAUGCCGCGGGGGUGAAGAAGGUCUUCGGAUUGUAAAGCACUUUAAGUUGGGAGGAAGGGCAGUAAGUUAAUACCUUGCUGUUUUGACGUUACCAACAGAAUAAGCACCGGCUAACUUCGG